GACGAACGCUGGCGGCGUGCUUAACACAUGCAAGUCGAGCGGUAAGGCCCUUUCGGGGGUACACGAGCGGCGAACGGGUGAGUAACACGUGAGUAAUCUGCCCUUCACUUCGGGAUAACCAUCGGAAACGGUGGCUAAUACCGGAUAUGACUCGUCCCUGCAUGGGGGUGGGUGGAAAGUUUUUUCGGUGGAGGAUGUGCUCGCGGCCUAUCAGCUUGUUGGUGAGGUAACGGCUCACCAAGGCUUCGACGGGUAGCCGGCCUGAGAGGGUGACCGGCCACACUGGGACUGAGACACGGCCCAGACUCCUACGGGAGGCAGCAGUGGGGAAUAUUGGACAAUGGGCGGAAGCCUGAUCCAGCAACGCCGCGUGAGGGAUGACGGCCUUCGGGUUGUAAACCUCUUUCAGUACCGACGAAGCGCCCGUGAGGGUGGUGACGGUAGGUACAGAAGAAGGACCGGCCAACUACGUGCCAGCAGCCGCCGUAACAC
rnacentral:rRNA from 1 species